GGCGCAAGCCUGAUGCAGCCAUGCCGCGUGUGUGAAGAAGGCCUUCGGGUUGUAAAGCACUUUCAGUCAGGAGGAAAGGUUAGUAGUUAAUACCUGCUAGCUGUGACGUUACUGACAGAAGAAGCACCGGCUAACUCCGUGCCAGCAGCCGCGGUAAUACGGAGGGUGCGAGCGUUAAUCGGAAUUACUGGGCGUAAAGCGUACGCAGGCGGUUUGUUAAGCGAGAUGUGAAAGCCCCGGGCUCAACCUGGGAACUGCAUUUCGAACUGGCAAACUAGAGUGUGAUAGAGGGUGGUAGAAUUUCAGGUGUAGCGGUGAAAUGCGUAGAGAUCUGAAGGAAUACCGAUGGCGAAGGCAGCCACCUGGGUCAACACUGACGCUCAUGUACGAAAGCGUGGGGAGCAAACAGGAUUAGAUACCCUGGUAGUCCACGCCGUAAACGAUGUCUACUAGAAGCUCGGAACCUCGGU
rnacentral:rRNA from 1 species